rnacentral:rRNA from 1 species
GCCAGCAGUCAUAUCGCUCUGCAGCUCACAACUGGCAAUCCACUGAAGCUAAGCAGGUGUGAGCCUGGUGAGUACCUGGAUGGGAGACCUCCUGGGAAAAAAGGUUACUGCUGGAA